rnacentral:tRNA from 1 species
UAGAGUGAAGCUCGCAGGGUUGAGCGCUUAGCUGUUAACUAAGUCAUUACGGGAUCGAGGCCCGUCAUUCUAG